rnacentral:rRNA from 1 species
GAUGAACGCUGGCGGCGUGCCUAAUACAUGCAAGUCGAGCGAACAGACGAGGAGCUUGCUCCUCUGACGUUAGCGGCGGACGGGUGAGUAACACGUGGAUAACCUACCUAUAAGACUGGGAUAACUUCGGGAAACCGGAGCUAAUACCGGAUAAUAUAUUGAACCGCAUGGUUCAAUAGUGAAAGACGGUUUUGCUGUCACUUAUAGAUGGAUCCGCGCCGCAUUAGCUAGUUGGUAAGGUAACGGCUUACCAAGGCAACGAUGCGUAGCCACCUGAGAGGGUGAUCGGCCACACUGGAACUGAGACACGGUCCAGACUCCUACGGGAGGCAGCAGUAGGGAAUCUUCCGCAAUGGGCGAAAGCUUGACGGAGCAACGCCGCGUGAGUGAUGAAGGUCUUCGGAUCGUAAAACUCUGUUAUUAGGGAAGAACAAAUGUGUAAGUAACUAUGCACGUCUUGACGGUACCUAAUCAGAAAGCCACGGCUAACUACGUG